AGUGAACGCUGGCGGUAGGCCUAACACAUGCAAGUCGAACGGCAGCACAGUAAGAGCUUGCUCUUACGGGUGGCGAGUGGCGGACGGGUGAGGAAUACAUCGGAAUCUACUUUUUCGUGGGGGAUAACGUAGGGAAACUUACGCUAAUACCGCAUACGACCUACGGGUGAAAGCAGGGGAUCUUCGGACCUUGCGCGAUUGAAUUAGCCGAUGUCGGAUUAGCUCGUUGGCGGGGUAAAGGCCCACCAAGGAGACGAUCCGUAGCUGGUCUGAGAGGAUGAUCAGCCACACUGGAACUGAGACACGGUCCAGACUCCUACGGGAGGCAGCAGUGGGGAAUAUUGGACAAUGGGCGCAAGCCUGAUCCAGCCAUACCGCGUGGGUGAAGAAGGCCUUCGGGUUGUAAAGCCCUUUUGUUGGGAAAGAAAAGCAGCAGGUUAAUACCCCGCUGUUCUGACGGUACCCAAAGAAUAAGCACCGGCUAACUUCGUG
rnacentral:rRNA from 1 species